GGGAACUGCUGCUCUGGCCUUACUUUUUAAAUUGGAUGAAUUAAAAUAAAUGUCUAUGUAGGCAAAAAAAAUGUAUAAACAGAGCUUUAAAACCUUUACUUUUAAUAGAAUUUUGGAACUAACAGAAUCCUGAAAAUGUUGUAAAAUAUAAAGCAGAAGUUUCUCUCAUAAAGCAACUGUCAUGUUCCCUGCAGAAAAGCUCUGUGUGGCACAAGUAAAGCUUUUGGGAUGUCAGUGUUUGCUCAAUCCCAGUCACUGCAUUUUAGCAUCAUUUUCUGCUUACUAUUUUAUUCUCUAUCUGUUCAAUAAUUUAACAUUCCCUUUUGAAGCCUUGAUAAUCCUAAUCCUUUCAGUCAUCUGGGGGCAAUCUGUUGUGGAAAUGAACUGGGCAGAUACAGGAUGUCUCCUGUUGGCGAGGAACCCUUCCCGCUGCUGGCUGCUCUCCCUCUGAGCAGAGACACACUUGCUCAGUGCAAAUCCAAUGCUUAUAAUCAGUUUUCUGUGAUGUGCUCUUUGUAAGAGUUGUGUAAAUGGAUUUUCACUUCUUGACUGCCACACAGAGGACUGGCCUGCCUGCCAGGACUUGCUGUCAUGUCUGUAUUGUGUACUCUCUUGUUCCUGAAAAAUUGAAUCCCAAAUACAUUGGAGUGUACGUGUGAGGGCAGGGGCCUCUAUUCAAUCCUUCCAAGAUGCCUGUAUGGGAAAAGAAGUGUGGUGAUCUCGGGAAGCUUCACUAGGUGCUGGUUUUACUCAGUCAUGUUUGAUAAAGUUAGGGACUACAGCCUGUGUAACAGAAAGGAGUUGGCAGAUCUUAGUGUGUGGGCUGCAUGGUAUCCCGCAACAGGCUAGUCUUUGCUGGCCCGAGAACACAGUAAUGGUUUAUGUUACAAUAUGUGGUGUUAUACUGACAUCGUCUCUUGCAGGGAAAAGCAAUGAGAAAGGGGUAAGUUCCAAAAGAGAAGUCAAGUCCACUGGGAGCAAUAAGGCCAGGCACUUUGUUUCAGAUGAUGAUGCAAGUGAUCGUGCAGUCAACAGUGCAAAAACUGAACGUCAGCUUUCUGCUAAGCUGACUUCCUUAAAUACCGAAGCACUAAACAAACAUACUAGCAGAACCCCAGGAACAUCAAAGGAAAAGAGAGCAGCAGAACAUGGAGAACUGACUAUGUAUCAGCAGGCUUACAAGUACUCUUUAAGGUCAGCCCAACAACUUCGUCAGGACAAGCGCUUAACAGAAGAACCGUCAAGCAAAGAUGAGGAAGAGGAAUCCAGUGAAGAUAUCCCCCUGUCUAUCAAAAGGAAAACUAAACCUUUAUUGAAACCAGAGAUUCAUAACUCUAAACCUUCCUCUAACUGUAGAAAGUCACAGGAUGAUGCAGACAAGGCAUCCUGUGAGCAAAGGACAGUAAAACACAUGACUGCCACCUAUAAUGUGCUGUUGAGGCAAAGUGUACCCAAAUCUAAGGACGGUUCUGAUAUACUUGAAGGAGAAGCACCUUCUACUAGGUCUGGAACUUCCCACCUGCCUGAUAAGGCAGUGAGGACAAGAAACAGAAUCAACCUGCCAAGGCUGAUUGAAUCUGACACUGAGUCUGAAAGCAGUGAAGAGGAAUUUCAUGUAAAAGAAAAGGAUUUAAAACUAGCUGAUAGAAAAACAAACUACAAAGUUCCUAAUACUGCCAAGCCUUCAGCAGAAAAAUCAAGAGAAUCUGAAAGGGAAAAGGUGCAGAAACCUCUACAGCUUUUUCCAAGGGCAGCUGAUGCUUGGUCUGAAAAGGAAUUACAGAAGCUCUACAGGCAAGUAGUUGCACUGCCCUCACAGGGCAAAGGUUCUCUUGGGCAUCGGGAGGUAUGUGCCAAGGGGGUUGAGUGAUCUGCAUUUGGCUGAUUCAGUUUCUUGCACCUUAUUUUAAAGGUUUUCUUUACGUUUUAAUUUCCUCUUAAAAACUUUAAAAAAA
rnacentral:lncRNA from 1 species